UAUUUCCCUAUUUCUUGAUCUUCUCGAUCUCUUUUUCUUUCCUUCACUACUAUUCCAAAGGAAAGUAGACUUAGUCAGAAUUUCUGCCUGUAUUCUCCAUGGAUACAGAGGCUUUACUGGAAGCUCGAGAUCUCCACCAACCGUGGUGGAUGAUCCAACCACGACCAAGCAGGCUGAAGCCAGGCAUGUAAACUUUAACUGCAAAACGUAGCAGUAGUUAGUGUUGUUGCAGAUGAGAUUGUUUUUCGCGGUUUAUUUAUGGUGAAGAAGACUUGUCAGAGACAUAAUGUUCUUUAAAUACUCAUAGACAGCAGUUUAGAGUCCAUUAUUAUAUAUGCAGAGAGAUUCACUUUACUGGGAUUUGUUAGGAAAAUAGAGUCUGUUAAACGAUGGAUCGAGUUAAAUCAAGUAUGUAAUUUGUUCUAUGUAUUUGCCUCUUUCUGGGUGCAUUCAUAUAUUAUGAGGAUUUGGGUUUCAUUUAAUUUGUUCCGGCCCGACAAAUCUUGAAAGAUUAGUACAAUCUGCUUUAUAUAUAUCUACAUUUUGAUGAUUAA